UGAAUGAAAUCAAGAGAGCAGGAAGGGUCAAGUUUUAAUCAUUUUCAGCUGUUUGUAAAACAGGAUCUGAGCUAUGUGUACAGAACCAAUAGCAAUAUUGAAAUGACCUGCAGAAAGGGAAGACUUUUGAAAAGGUUUCAUCCCAGGCUGUUAGAGAAAGCAAGCUGCCGUAGGAUAAGAGGAAGGGUUCAAAGACGGUUAAAUAACUGAUUAAAAGAUAAGAAAUAGGAAGCAGGAAUAAAUAGUCACAUUUCACAGCAAAAAGAAAUUGCCAAGGAAGUCUGCAAGGAUCUGUGCCUAGGCCUGUGCUUCACAGUAUAUUCAUGACCUUUUGGGUAAAAGGGCUGCAUAAAAAUGUGUCAAAGUUUGCAGGUACUGUUCAGAGUAGUAAAGAUCACUGAAGAAUUAUGGAAGGGCCUUACUUCACAGAGUGGCUGGAUGAUAAAACAGUAGGUGAAAUUCAGUGCAGGAAAUGUGAAGUAGCAGAUAUGGCAGAAAAUAGUAAUUUUCUACCAAGAUAUAGCUAUGAUUUUGAAGUAAGGUUAGGGUUUUCAUAGAUUUUGAAAGGUAUCAUCUUAAUAGAGGUUAAAAUUGUAAUUCAGAUGUUGGGAAUUACUAAAAAGCAAAUAGAGAAGAAAAUAAAGCAUUGCUGGUCUGUGUGCCUCUUGAAUACUGUGUGUAGUUCUGGUUUCUUCCAUCUGAAGCCCAGUGUAGUAAAACUGGGAGAGGUUUUAGGGGACGGUGACAGGAAUGAUGAGUAGCAUGCAACACCUGUAUGAGGAUAACUAAAUAGACUGAAAGGCAGGUGGUUGAGAAGAAAUGAUAAAAGUCCAUAAAAUCACAAGUGGUAGAGGGAGAACAUGAAUAGGGAGUGAUUGUUCACUGUGUCUCCUGAUACCAGAACUAGAGGUUAUUAAAUGGAAUCUGCAUGUGGUGGCUCCUGGCAUACAAAAUGAGGUGCUCUCCACAGGCAUGAAGGUGAGCUGUGGCACUCCUCUUUAACAAUCCCUUCUCCCUGAAAAAAAAAGCAACACCAAAACACCCAAAGAAACAAACAAACAAAAAAUCUCAUUAACAUUAAAGUUUACAUGACCUGAAAGUAACUGAACUGGUACUUGAAAGAUGAAUCCCUUAAAGGGUGCUGAAUAUAAAGACAGCACCUCUGGCUUAGAAAAUCCUUUUGAACCAUGAAUCGGUGGACACUACUAAGAGCACUGGCAGAGAAUCCCUGUAUGUUUGUCCAGUCUUGCCUUACCUCCCUGGACUUUUUGUAAGUCAAUCUGGGUAAAAGGGGAGAAAUCUGGUGGAUCUGUUAUCAUUGAAAAGUCUAUUAUGAAAAGCGCAAAUUCAUUCACAAUGGGAGCUGUUUAAUCCUUCACAAAGCAAAUACCAGAGAGCUUCAACAACUGUUCUGACCAUACUGUCAGUUGUGAGUGACAGUUACUUGGAUUCGGUUUCCUAGAUGGAUGCAUAUUUCUGAUCUGUGUUUUAAUCAUCUAUUUUCAGUGUUAAUACUAUUUGAAUAUCUUCAACCUAUUGUUUGAAUGACUUGGAUAAAUGCUGUACAGUUUUCUGUUACAGUUCACAGGCGCUUCUUGUAAGAAAGAGGGAAAAGCUGCUUUUGUUUUUAAGUCUUCAUGCUGCUGUGUUGGUAGGUAUUCUGGUUUCUGUUACCGUGUCCUAUACGUCAAGGCUCAAAUCACAGUUUAAAUUCUACAGGUUUUGGGCUGGUCAUUGCUGAGGGCUGAGAAGAGCUGUGGAUGAAGGCUGAGCAUGACUGACAUGUUCAUAUUCAUCAGAAAACAGUCUGCUGGAGAGAAUGAGGGAAUAAUUGUUGCACUGCUCCCUCCCUCACUGCUUGUGCAUAAAGACAUAGGCUGCAGUGAGGAAGCUACCUGAGGUUAUUAAGAUUAAUACUGCUAGAAAUUCCAAUCAACUCACACAAGGCUGCUCCUCAAGGCUGUCAGAUGCCUACUGCCUUCUCUGAUUCAGGUGGGGCCACAUCAAUUUCAAAUUUCCCAACAGAGAUUGCUAUGAUUUAUGAGUUUAGGAGGCUGAUAAAUGUGGUUAGUUGAAGUGUUCAUGAAAUAAUUGAAUCAGAAUAAUUUCCAUCAGCUGUGCUCAAUUUGUUUUCUCCUGUAACCACAGGAGGGUGCAGUUUUGAAUUGGGAGCUUCAUCUCAAGGAUUCCUGUCACAGGAAAGACAUUGUGGAACCUGGAAUAAGAGCAACUUAAUUUUGCUGCCAGGCCUGUAUGACAGCCUUAUGAGCUGACUUAAGACCCGUCAGAACUGGAGACAGGCUCCUUUUCUCUUACACUUGUCCUAACUGAUAGGAAACCCUUAAUGCCACAAUGACCAAUGGUAAAUCACCCUGUCUGACACUAGGAGACAAAAGAAGCAGGAGGGAUCUGUGAAAAAUGCCUGCAAUAAGCGAAGCACAGCGUGGAUGGAGAUGAUUCACGUCUCUGCAGUGAAUCUUCAGUAAAAGGAACUGUUUGCUGCUGUUCCCUUUUGUGACUGAAUUUUGGAUCUUUCUAAAAAAAAUUCUUUUUCUAAAACUUCUG